rnacentral:rRNA from 1 species
AUUGAACGCUGGCGGCAUGCCUUACACAUGCAAGUCGAACGGCAGCAUGGAGAGCUUGCUCUCUGAUGGCGAGUGGCGAACGGGUGAGUAAAGCAUCGGAACGUACCGUGUAGUCGGGGAUAACGUAGCGAAAGUUACGCUAAUACCGCGUACGCACUGAGGUGGAAAGCAGGGGAUCGUAAGACCUUGCGCUAUACGAUCGGCCGAUGGCAGAUUAGCUAGUUGGUAGGGUAAAGGCCUACCAAGGCGACGAUCUGUAGCGGGUCUGAGAGGAUGUUCCGCCACACUGGAGCUGGGACACGGCACGGACUCCUACGGGAGGCAGCAGUGGGGAAUUUUGGACAAGGGGGGCAACCCUGAUCCAGCCAUGCCGCGUGGGUGAAGAAGGCCUUCGGGUUGUAAAGCUCUUUCGGCCGGGAAGAAAUCGCCCAGGCUAAUACCCUGUGUGGAUGACGGUACCGGCAUAAGAAGCACCGGCUAACUACGUGCCAGCCGCCGCAGUAA